rnacentral:rRNA from 1 species
GAUGAACGCUGGCGGCGCGCCUAAUACAUGCAAGUCGAGCGAUGAGGCCCCUUCGGGGGCACAUCAGCGGCGAACGGGUGAGUAACACGUUGGUGACCUGCCCCGAAGACGGGGAUAACUACUGGAAACGGUGGCUAAUACCCGAUGUGCUCGGCGAUUCAUUUCGUCGAGUAAAGUUCCGGCGCUUCGGGAUGGGCCUGCGGCCUAUCAGCUAGUUGGUAGGGUAAUGGCCUACCAAGGCGAAGACGGGUAGGGGCGUGAGAGCGCGGCCCCCCACAUUGGCACUGAGAUACGGGCCAGACUCCUACGGGUGGCUG